UAACCGUCAUCGAGAGGUGACGCUGAAGAGGCAGGGGUCAGCAGAGGUCAUAGUACAGUGGCAAGCGCUUGUCACUGGAAGGAC
rfam:Alicyclobacillus hesperidum TRH17-3-68 TRH17368ctg64, whole genome shotgun sequence.